AGAUAUAACCACACCACCUUGAAUGUGCCAGGUCUCAUCUGAUCCCAGAAGCUAGAGUUGGCCCUGGUUAAUACUUAUAUGGGAGACUACCCCAGAAUACUAGGCACUGUAGGCU
rnacentral:rRNA from 1 species